CACGUAGGGGCCGAGCGUUGUCCGGAGUUACUGGGCGUAAAGGGCGCGCAGGCGGCCUGCUGCAUCACCGGUGAAAGCCCCGCGCUCAACGCGGGAGGGUCCGGUGAGAUGAGCAGGCUGGAGGCAGGGCGAGGGCGGUGGAAUUCCGGGUGUAGUGGUGAAAUGCGCAGAUAUCAGGAAGAACACCCGUGGCUAAGGCGGUUCUCUAGUACGGUACUGACGCUGAGACGCGAAAGCGUGGGGAGCGAACAGG
rnacentral:rRNA from 1 species